AAAUAAAGUGUUGUAUCCCAAGUGUAACAAACAACUUGAUUCAUGGGAAUGUGGGUACUAUGUGAUGUCUUGGAUUAAGACCAUCAUUCGAGCUGCCAUUACAGAUAAGUGGAAUGAGAACUUCAACAAUUCAUCUGCUCUAACCGAAGGCAUGAUAAGACAAAUA